UGGGCUAUAUAAAGUCACAACCUUUGCGGGCAGUUUUAGCAUUUGCCACCGACAGACAGCAGACCUCCAAAUACGAGAGGAGAGCCCUAGCAGCCUAGCUAUUCAUUUCAUCACCUCACACAGCAAAAUAAAGCAAAACGUCAAGAAUGAAGGCCUACACCUGUCUGAUUCUGUUGAUGUGCCUGAGCUGCGUCUUUGCCAUGGCAAUUCGUAAAGAGAGAUCGCUUGAUGAUGAACUGGUUGAAUAUCUGCGUGACUUGUUGCAAGAAGGAAGGAGGCAACGCAUAAAAUGUUACAACCGUGAAUGCCCUAUCGGUCAAGUCUGUAACCUAGAAUAUUACUGCGUCAAACCAUAACAUGCAGAACCAACAUGGAGACCCGAACGCCCAAACGGGCCCAACAUUUCGACGGAAUCGAAUCCUAAACCAUUACACUCUUUCAAAUUUGGCUGAAUUAAACAAUGACUUUAGUGCACGGUCCGUUUAGGGUAGAGUGCUUAUAAUUAGUAUUGGUGUUUGCAGCUCAGACAUUAUACCGUAUACGUUUGAUAAUAGUUACACUCUGAAAAAUAAAUCCCACUGUAUUUCAACUGGUACCUAGCUCGCGCAAGCUGUCAGAGUUGUAACGAGUCUCUGAAUUUUGUGACUCGAGUUGAGUCGAGUCAUUUAGUCAAGAAAGUGAUUCAAGUCGAGUCAUAAGGUGAAGAAGGUCGACUCGAGUCGAUUCCAGUCACAGUAUGUUGUCGAGUCGAGCCUUCUCAUGAGGGACUUGAGCCGAGCUUUUUUUGCUUUGUUUUUUACUCAACAUUAACGUUAACAUGUAGCAAUUAGUUUUGAUGCUUAUCUGCGUAGAAGACUAGUUUAAUUAAACUUCAAUAUAGAGGACAUACAUGAAGGUAAUUCAAAUCUGGUCUCUGACUUUGCUUUGCUAGUAUUUACAUUUAAUUACUCGUUGCCGGAAUAAAGACAUUGGUUCCGAGCAGUGUUUUUGUGCCACCCAAUCACUACUACAUUACAUCGACGGUGAUAUGUUUGUUUUGCUUUGUUUUAUACUCAACCUUAACGUUUACAUGUAGCAAUUAUAUUUGAUGCUAAUCUGCGUAUAGUAGUCAUACAGCGGUUUCAUUAAACUUUAGAAGAGGUUAUAGAUGAAGGUACUUCAAA